rnacentral:rRNA from 1 species
AAGGGGAGCGUCAUGUAUGAGGUGAAGUCAUAGCGGAAGCGGUGGUGGAUUGUACAUGAGAGAGAAUGCCGGAAUGAGUAGCGAGAAUUAUGUGAGAAUCAUAAUGGCCGAAAAUCUAAGGUUUCCUGAGGAAGGUUCGUCCGCUCAGGGUAAGCCGGGAGCUAAGGUGAGGCGGAAACGCGUAGCCGAUGCACAUACGGUAGAGAUUCCGUAGCCUCCGAAAAGUAAAGCACAGGGACGCUUCAGAAGUGUUACGCCGGGCGAUGGUAGCCCCGGUUGUAAAGGACACAAUUGAGUGGAAGGUAACAUGGAUGGAGACAAGAAAAGCUGUGUGUAUCUGGAAGGAGCCCGUACCGCAAACCGACACAGGUAGAUAGGAAGAAGAUUCUAAGGCCAGCGGGAGAAGGGUUGAUAAGGAACUCGGCAAGUUGACCCCGUAACUUCGGGAGAAGGGGUGCUUACGAAGGUAAGCCGCAGAGAAUAGGCCCAAGCGACUGUUUAGCAAAAACACAGCUCUAUGCUAAAUCGAAAGAUGACGUAUAUGGGGUGACACCUGCCCGGUGCUGGAAGGUUAAGAGGAGAUGUGAGAGCAUUGAAUUGAAGCCCCAGUAAACGGCGGCCGUAACAAUAACGGUCCUAAGGUAGCGAAAUUCCUUGUCAGGUAAGUUCUGACCCGCACGAAUGGUGUAACGAUUUGGGCACUGUCUCAACAACCUACCCGGCGAAAUUGUAGUAUCGGUGAAGAUGCCGGUUACCCGCGACUAGACGGAAAGACCCCAUGGAGCUUCACUGUAGCUUAAUAUUGAAUUUUGGUAUUUCAUGUACAGGAUAGGUGGGAGACUGGGAAAUACAGGCGUCAGCUUGUAUGGAGUCACUGUUGGGAUACCACUCUUGAGGUGCUGAAAUUCUAACCUGCGUCUUUGAAUCAAGACGGGGGACAUUGUUAGGUGGGCAGUUUGACUGGGGCGGUCGCCUCCAAAAGAGUAACGGAGGCGCUCAAAGGUUCGCUCAGCAUGGACGGAAACCAUGCCAAAGAGUGCAAACGCAAAAGCGAGCCUAACUGCGAGACUGACGGGUCGAGCAGUAACGAAAGUUGGAGUUAGUGAUCCGGCGGUAUGUGAGUGGAAAUGCCGUCGCUCAACGGAUAAAAGCUACCCUGGGGAUAACAGGCUGAUCUCCCCCAAGAGUCCACAUCGACGGGGAGGUUUGGCACCUCGAUGUCGGCUCAUCGCAUCCUGGGGCUGAAUUCGGUCCCAAGGGUUUGGCUGUUCGCCAAUUAAAGCGGUACGCGAGCUGGGUUCGGAACGUCGUGAGACAGUUCGGUCCCUAUCUGUCGUGGGCGUAGGAUAUUUGAAAGGAGCUGUCCCUAGUACGAGAGGACCGGGAUGGACGCACCUCUGGUGAACCAGUUGUCACGCCAGUGGCACGGCUGGGCAGCUAAGUGCGGAACGGAUAAACGCUGAAAGCAUCUAAGCGUGAAGCCGACCUUAAGAUAAGAUAUCCGUUCUUCGGAAUAAGACCCCUUGUAGACUACGAGGUUGAUAGGCUUAAAGUGUAAGCAUGGUGACAUGUUUAGCUUGCAAGUACUAAUCGGUCGAUUGCUUUUCCGA